rnacentral:rRNA from 1 species
UACGGGGGGGGCAAGCGUUGUUCGGAAUCACUGGGCGUAAAGCGUAUGUAGGCGGCUUUCUAAGUCGGUUGUGAAAUCCCAUGGCUUAACCAUGGAAUUGCAUUCGAAACUGGAGAGCUUGAGUGUGGGAGAGAUUGGUAGAAUACCUGGUGUAGUGGUGAAAUACGUAGAUAUCAAGCAGAACACCUGCGGCGAAGGCGGCCUUCUGGACGAUGACUGACGCUGAGACGCGAAAGCGUGGGGAGCAAACAGG